CGGGAAACCGGAGCUAAUACCGGAUAAUAUUUCGAACCGCAUGGUUCGAUAGUGAAAGAUGGUUUUGCUAUCACUUAUAGAUGGACCUGCGCCGUAUUAGCUAGUUGGUAAGGUAACGGCUUACCAAGGCGACGAUACGUAGCCGACCUGAGAGGGUGAUCGGCCACACUGGAACUGAGACACGGUCCAGACUCCUACGGGAGGCAGCAGCC
rnacentral:rRNA from 1 species